rnacentral:rRNA from 1 species
GGCGAUUUGUUAAAUUCUAAGCAAAAGAAAGGCUCUUCUUUUACCUGGCAAAGUAUUAUGGCUGGCAUAAAUUCUCUGAAACAUGGCUAUAUUUGACGUGUGGGGAAUGGACAAAAUAUCAAUAUUUGGGAAGAUGUCUGGAUCCCAAAUUGUGCUACUAGGAAAGUUAUGACGCCUAAGGGAGGACAACUGUUAACUAAGGUGGGUGACCUGAUUGAUCCUGCUUCGAAUACUUGGAAUGAAGACCUGGUUACACAAACAAUGUGGCCCAUUGAUGUUCAACGGAUUCUCUCAAUUCCAAUCUCGCAACAUGAUAUGCCAGAUUUCAUUGCUUGGAGUUAUACGAAAAAUGGUAUGUUCUCGGUUCGGUCUGCUUAUUUUGUGGAGUGGGACCAGCAGUAUGGAAGUAAACAAAGACAUUCUAAUGGGAUGGGGCGAACCACAGUUAAUCCUAUUUGGAGUAAGAUAUGGAAGUUAUCAUGUCCGGCAAAAGUCAAAAAAAUUAUAUGGCGUACAUUACAUGGAAUGCUUCCAUGCCGGGUUAAGCUCGCAAAUAGACGUAUGAAGGUCACGCCCAUUUGUCCUACUUACUCUGAGGGUUUCGAAGAUACAAAGCAUAUAUUUUUCCUUUGCAGUAGAGCAAAGGAGGUUUGGACAAGGCUGGGGAUGGAUGAUUGA